GCGAGUUUGGUUUCCAAAUACGAACAAACACCAACAAGAAAUUACGCCUAAUUACAGUGCUCUCUAAACGUAUUUGGAUUUCUUCAGUUUGUUCUUCUCAGUGUUUCUUUUGGUGAGUUUGAUUCAGAAAACUCGAAGGUUUUUUAAAGAAUAGAGAAGGAAAUAGAUAUGGGUAUGCUCAGAUAGCAGUUUUGGUGACCAAUUUUUCACGUCUGUGAAUUUUCAAGUAUCAAAUGGCGCUGUGUUCUAUUUACAAGUAUGGUUCAAAAGCUCAAGGGUUGGCGUUUCUUGCAUUUGGGUCCAUUUCCUUUUUGGUAUUUGUUUAUGUUGCUAUUGUCUCCAAGUUGCUUCCGCCAUUCGACAAUCCGAUCCUUGCAGCCAUUCAGAAUGACAGAUACUAUUGCUUUCUGGUUCCAUUAACGCUUCCCAUCCUUGUUGUUGCUAUAUAUUUCCACUGGCUCAGCAUGAAGAUCUUUAAGCAUGCAUAGCUCAGACGAGGUAUGGA
rnacentral:misc_RNA from 1 species